GCCAGCAGCCGCGGUAACACCGGCGGCCCGAGUGGUGAUCGUGAUUAUUGGGUCUAAAGGGUCCGUAGCCGGUUUGGUCAGUCCUCCGGGAAAUCUGAUAGCUCAACUAUUAGGCUUUCGGGGGAUACUGCCAGACUUGGAACCGGGAGAGGUAAGAGGUACUACAGGGGUAGGAGUGAAAUCUUGUAAUCCCUGUGGGACCACCUGUGGCGAAGGCGUCUUACCAGAACGGGUUCGACGGUGAGGGACGAAAGCUGGGGGGCACGAACCGGAUUAGAUACCCGGGUAGUCCCAGCCGUAAACGAUGCUCGCUAGGUGUCAGGCAUGGCGCGACCGUGUCUGGUGCCGCAGGGAAGCCGUGAAGCGAGCCACCUGGGAAGUACGGCCGCAAGGCUGAAACUUAAAGGAAUUGGCGGGGGAGCACAACAACGGGUGGAGCCCUGCGGUUUAAUUGGACUCAACGCCGGACAACUCACCGGGGGCGACAGCAAUAUGUAGGCCAAGCUGAAGACUUUGCCUGAAUCGCUGAGAAGUGGUGCAUGG
rnacentral:rRNA from 1 species